rnacentral:rRNA from 1 species
UGCUUAACACAUGCAAGUCGAACGGAGCACCCUUGACUGAGGUUUCGGCCAAAUGAUAGGAAUGCUUAGUGGCGGACUGGUGAGUAACGCGUGAGGAACCUGCCUUCCAGGAGGGGGACAACAGUUAGGAAACGACUGCUAAAUACCGCAUGAUAUAUUUGGAGGGGCACUCCCGUUGGAUAUACAAAGUAUUUAUCGCUGGAAGAUGGCCUCGCGUCUGAUUAGCUAGUAGGCGGGGACGGCCCACCUAGGCGACGAUCAGUAGCCGGACUGAGAGGUUGACCGGCCACAUUGGGACUGAGAUACGGCCCAGACUCCUACGGGAGGCAGCAGUGGGGAAUAUUGGGCAAUGGGCGCAAGCCUGACCCAGCAACGCCGCGUGAAGGAAGAAGGCUUUCGGGUUGUAAACUUCUUUUGUCAGGGAACAGUAGAAGAGGGUACCUGACGAAUAAGCCACGGCUAACUACGUGCCAGCAGCCGCGGUAA